rnacentral:rRNA from 1 species
UUGAAACAUUGGUUCUUGUAUGAUCACUAAAGUUAAGCAACAUUGAGCCUGGUUAGUACCUAGAUGUGUGAUCACUUGGGAAUACCAAGUGCUGUU